rnacentral:rRNA from 1 species
UACGUAGGGUGCGAGCGUUGUCCGGAAUUAUUGGGCGUAAAGAGCUCGUAGGCGGUUUGUCGCGUCGUUCGUGAAAACUCCACGCUUAACGUGGAGCGUGCGGGCGAUACGGGCAGACUUGAGUUCGGUAGGGGAGACUGGAAUUCCUGGUGUAGCGGUGAAAUGCGCAGAUAUCAGGAGGAACACCGGUGGCGAAGGCGGGUCUCUGGGGCCGAUACUGACGUGAG